rnacentral:rRNA from 1 species
CAAUAGCGUAUAUUUAAGUUGUUGCAGUUAAAAAGCUCGUAGUUGGAUUUCUGGUGGGAGCGCCCGGUCCUACCCUAACGGGUUGUGUACUGGCGGCGUCUUUCGCCAUCCUUGGGGAGAGCGUUCUGAGCAUUAAGUUGUUUGGUUCGGGAUCCUCAUCUUUUACUGUGAAAAAAUUAGAGUGUUUAAAGCAGGCAAUUGCUGUGAAUACAUUAGCAUGGAAUAAUAAGAUAGGACUUUGGUGCUAUUUUGUUGGUUUGCACACCGAGGUAAUGAUUAACAGGGACAGUUGGGGGUAUUCGUAUUUAAUUGUCAGAGGUGAAAUUCUUGGAUUUAUGAAAGACGAACUACUGCGAAAGCAUUUACCAAGGAUGUUUUCAUUAA